AGGCAGAUUCCAGCAGAAACAGAUAGAGAAUGUCUUAAGAAGAUAUAUAAAGGAGUACGUGACGUGCCACACGUGUCGGUCUCCUGACACAAUCUUGCAGAAGGACACGCGUCUGUAUUUCCUGCAGUGUGAGACGUGUCACUCCCGCUGCUCCGUCGCCAGCA